rnacentral:rRNA from 1 species
AUUGAACACUGGCGGCAUGCCUUACACAUGCAAGUCGAACGGCAGCACGGAGCUUGCUCUGGUGGCGAGUGGCGAACGGGUGAGUAAUAUAUCGGAACGUACCCAAGAGUGGGGGAUAACGUAGCGAAAGUUACGCUAAUACCGCAUACGAUCUAAGGAUGAAAGUGGGGGCUCGCAAGACCUCAUGCUCCUGGAGCGGCCGAUAUCUGAUUAGCUAGUUGGUGAGGUAAAGGCUCACCAAGGCAUCGAUCAGUAGCUGGUCUGAGAGGACGACCAGCCACGCUGGAACUGAGACACGGUCCAGACUCCUACGGGAGGCAGCAGUGGGGAAUUUUGGACAAUGGGGGCAACCCUGAUCCAGCAAUGCCGCGUGAGUGAAGAAGGCCUUCGGGUUGUAAAGCUCUUUUGUCAGGGAAGAAACGGUGAAGGCUAAUAUCCUUUGCUAAUGACGGUACCUGAAGAAUAAGCACCGGCUAACUACGUGCCAGCAGCCGCCGUAA